CCAAAAAGUUCCUCCCAACAAAUUUUUUAGACUCCCUCCACCGCUCGGACCAAAAAUUAGAACUCCCUCUCUCAUUUCUCCCUCACUCCUCCCAAAUAAACCCUAUUAUUGCAAUUUCCUCUCUCCCUCUCCCUCUCCCUCUUAUCGAUAUGGCGCAGAUCUCUAGUCGUCGUAGCUUGCGACUCCCUUAUCUCGGCUCUCGAUUGGAAGCCGCUAGUCUCCAAUGAAGCUUCCUAGGAGUUCAGCAACCUCUAUCUCCAAACAAAAUUCAGCAAGCUUCAUUGACAGAUGAGCCAAUAUCUGAUGAUAUAGGUCCACCUUCAUUAGUCAGCCCUAGAUUUUCAAAAGAUGAUUUUUUUCUAGGAAAAAUAGAGCUUUUGCUUCCAGUUGAAGGCAGAGGUACAAGCUUUAAUAAUACAGCAACUGAUUGCGGACUCAAAGAAGAUACACCAAAGGCUAUGAACUGUCCACCGACUAUAAUUCCAUAUAAGAGAUCAAUCACUGGAAAGACAGAAAGAAAAGAAAAGAGAUAUUGAAAACCAAGAAAAUCGAUGUGACUCAAAUAUAUCGCCAUUCAGUUGGAGAUGGAAAAUCGAAGCUCACUUGCAACUCCUAAGGCCAUGUCAUCAGAUACUUGAUUACUUACAUUAUCAGAUAGAAUGGCGUUGCCAAGGUUUGCUUUGCAAAAUAAUCUGUGUGUUACACUACUUUUGUAAAGGGGUUGAACAUUGGCACUGAAGGCUCAAGAUAUAAGAAGUAUGUCCCAUCACUGACAGUCCAAAAAGGAUCACCAGUUGGAAGUAACACCGUAUAUUCAUGCGAGUGCUCGAUGAACAUUGUUUUAGAAUUUGUUCUAGUUAUUUCUCUUUUAUUGAGUGGAUGUAAAGUACUACGUGAAAUUUUAAUACAUUUUAUGAUAUAAUUUUAAAGUGCUUAAGUUAUUUAUAUA